rnacentral:lncRNA from 1 species
CACUGAAAGCCAAGAACACAGCUGAGGAACAUAUCCAAAAGUUCAUGCCUAAGUUAGCUGGAUGGAUGCAGUUGGUAAGAAUUAAAACUAUAUUUUAAACUUUAGAAGUCUGUUUUGUUCAAAUCUAUCUAUUUGCUUUGAAAAACUAGAAUAUGGUGAAGAUUCAAUGUUACCUGGUUUUAACAUCAUUUGGCUGUCGAUUAUUAGUUUUUAAAAAUCUCAAACGUAGGAUUGAUUACCAUUCCGUAAGGAAUUUUGGUAUCCUACUUGUAAUAUAGAUAUUGCUGACUCGACCCAAGAAAGAGAAUGCAAACAGAAUAAAUUUCUACCUCUCGAAAUUUAUUUUAACUAUGAUUUAUAUUGUCUUGCUUAUAUCUGUGAACCUCAAAAUUACUUGUGACUAAUAAAGUUUUUUAGCUUAGAUAUUUAUUGACUUAUUUAUGUCUGUAAACCUCAAAUUAAUUGUAACUAAUCAAAUCAUUUUGCUUAAUGUGAGGAAUAAACGUGGUCAUUUAAAUGGUUUUUACUAUGGUUUUGGUUCAUACUUGUCUGUUAUGUCAUUUUGUAGAGUGUCAAUGUAAAUGCCUUAAGAUACUUUUGAGCCCUUGCUGAUCUGUCAUUUUUUAUUCAUCUUGCAAACAUUUGCAAGAAGUCUGCUCUUGCAGUUAAAAUUGGCCCAAUGAGCAUCACCAGAGUAGACUUUGAAGCAGAGGCCGAACAAGAGCACAGUCAGCAGAAUACGUGAUAUUGAUGGUGUUGAACUCUGUCGUUAAUUAAUAGCUGCCUUUCGCUUUCCGUUUUUGAUCCAAACGUUGUCGAUAUAGGUAUGUAAAUUAUUUUCUGCUGGAUCUAAUUUCAGUAGAUAUGCCUAACGACCUACAUGAAUGAAUAUUCUAAUGCACCUAAAGGCCUACGUGAAUGAAUAUUCUAAUGGUUUUGUAAACUUGUCUCAAGACUCUUGGACUCGAUUGCAACAUAAAUGUGCCGGAAAGGAUGGCCAUGUUAGAUUCAAAGUGACUUCCAUAUUAUUGUUAACAUGUUUGGUAAGAUGGACUACAUGAUACUAGAAAGUAUAAUUGUUUGGGGUAAAGAAGAUAUGAUUCUGACAUGUUUAGUUUGAUGGGUUGGACAAUAAUAGAUCAUGUAAAUGAAGUUAUAAACUUGUUAAAAAACUAUCCAAUAUUUGUUCGGUCGGUUUCGGGGCCACGGUUAGUAUUGGAUGGUGCAAACUGGAUUUGGGUUACCUGAAAUUGAAUGCAGAUGAUAUAGUCUCUGUCGAAGAGGAUUUUAUUGAAAUGGGAUUCAUCAUGAGAGAUCAUAAUGGUCUGGUCGUGGUGGCCAGCUCUCGGCAGAUUAGGGGCCUUUUUGACCCUGAAGUUGCUGAAUCAAUUGCCCUGUGUUAUGGUCUCCAGUUGCAAAGGAAAAUGGCUUCAUGGAUUUGGAAGUUGAGUCCAAUGCUCACAGGGUAGUUCACAGUCGAAACCUCGUUUCUUUAUUGGCAUCUAAUGCUGCUAUUUUAAUGGUCCAUUUAAAUGGUUUUUACUAUGGUUUUGGUUCAUACUUGUCUGUUAUGUCAUUUUGUAGAGUGUCAAUGUAAAUGCCUUAAGAUACUUUUGAGCCCUUGCUGAUCUGUCAUUUUUUAUUCAUCUUGCAAACAUUUGCAAGAAGUCUGCUCUUGCAGUUAAAAUUGGCCCAAUGAGCAUCACCAGAGUAGACUUUGGCCGAACAAGAGCACAGUCAGCAGAAUACGUGAUAUUGAUGGUGUUGAACUCUGUCGUUAAUUAAUAGCUGCCUUUCGCUUUCCGUUUUUGAUCCAAAUGUUGUCGAUAUAGGUAUGUAAAUUAUUUUCUGCUGGAUCUAAUUUCAGUAGAUAUGCCUAACGACCUACAUGAAUGAAUAUUCUAAUGUACCUAAAGGCCUACGUGAAUGAAUAUUCUAAUGGUUUUGUAAACUUGUCUCAAGACUCUU